AGUGAACGCUGGCGGUAGGCCUAACACAUGCAAGUCGAACGGCAGCACAGUAAGAGCUUGCUCUUACGGGUGGCGAGUGGCGGACGGGUGAGGAAUACAUCGGAAUCUACUUUUUCGUGGGGGAUAACGUAGGGAAACUUACGCUAAUACCGCAUACGACCUACGGGUGAAAGCAGGGGAUCUUCUGACCUUGCGCGAUUGAAUGAGCCGAUGUCGGAUUAGCUAGUUGGCGGGGUAAAGGCCCACCAAGGCGACGAUCCGUAGCUGGUCUGAGAGGCUGAUCAGCCACACUGGAACUGAAACACGGUCCAGACUCCUACGGGAGGCAGCAGUGGGGAAUAUUGGACAGUGGGCGCAAGCCUGAUCCAGCCAUACCGCGUGGGUGAAGAAGGCCUUCGGGUUGUAAAGCCCUUUUGUUGGGAAAGAAAAGCAGCAGGUUAAUACCCCGCUGUUCUGACGGUACCCAAAGAAUAAGCACCGGCUAACUUCGUG
rnacentral:rRNA from 1 species